AAGCCGGAGGCCUUCUUAAAGGACUUGGUUCGAGCAGAAACCCUAGGCACCGCUGCGUUCUCCUUCCGUCUGUCUCUCGGCUUCUCGCCCUCCUCGAACCCCCAAGUGUUUAGACCAAUCAACAUGUUUACUGCAAGGAAGAAAAUUCAGAAGGACAAGGGCGUAGAGCCCACUGAGUUUGAGGAGACUGUUGCGCAGGCAUUUUUUGAUUUGGAGAACCAUAACCAGGAUCUGAAGAGUGACUUGAAAGACCUUUAUAUCAAUUCGGCAGUUCAAAUGGAUGUAGCUGGCAACCGGAAAGCUGUUGUUAUACACGUACCCUACAGACUUCGGAAAGCAUAUAGGAAGAUUCAUUUGAGGCUGGUAAGAGAGUUGGAGAAGAAGUUCAGUGGCAAGGAUGUCGUUCUUAUCGCAACACGAAGGAUAUUGAGGCCACCCAAAAAAGGUUCAGCUGUUGUACGCCCUCGCAGUCGCACCCUCACUGCUGUUCAUGAUGCCACUUUGGAAGAUGUCGUGUACCCAGCAGAAAUUGUCGGGAAGCGUGUAAGAUAUCGUUUGGAUGGAUCCAAGAUCAUCAAGAUUUUUCUGGACCCAAAGGAACGCAACAACACGGAAUAUAAGCUGGAGACAUUCAGUGGAGUCUACCGCAAGCUCUGUGGGAAAGAUGUGGUGUUUGAAUAUCCUGUGACCGAGAGUGCAUGAAGAUGUUAUUGUGGGUAAGUCUAGUGAGAGUUUUUAGGCCUUCAAACCAGGACACAUUUUUGCUGAGAGGCAUUUGCUUUCGUUAUUUUGUUUGUUGUGAGAAUUGAAAGUUUUGAUGACUAUAUGAUAAUUAAUUUCAAUAUUUUGCCUUUACUGCCUUCUCAUGUAAAGGUUUCAAGACUCCAGAAUUAUCAUGGAUUCUAAUUCCAUUUAGAAGGCCCUAAAGACAUUCUUGUUUAAUCGAUCCAAUUGGUGAAUGGGUGUUAUCCUUGGUA